rnacentral:rRNA from 1 species
UCAAUGAAAAUUAAAUAGCCGCAACUAGUGCUAAGGUAGCAUAAUCAUUUGUCUUUUAAAUGAAGACUAGAACAAAAGAUUUAACAUUUAAUUCUAUUUAUAAUAUAUAAAGAUCAAAAUUAAACUAAACGUAAAAAGACGCUUAUUUUUAAGAAAGACGACAAGACCCUAUUGAACUUAACUUAAGUUUAACUGGGGUAGUUAAUUAAUUAUUAUUUUAAUUUAAAAAUACUAAAAUAAAAAUCUAGAAAAACUAAAUAAUCCAGUUACCAUAGGGAUAACAGCGCAAUUAUAUUCUAAAGCUCUCAUAUAAAAAAUAGAUUACGACCUCGAUGUUGAAUUAAUCACCUAAUUUAAGCAAAUUUUAAAUAAGGAAGUCUGUUCGACUUUUAAAAAAUUACAUGAUUUGAGUUCAGACCGGUGUAAGCCAGGUCGGUUUCUAUCUUCUCAUAAAUUUUUACAGUACGAAAGGACCUAAUAAUAUAAUAUUAUUAUAUCUUAUUGGCAGAUUAAUGCAUUAGAAUUAGAAUCUAAUAAAAAUUAA